rnacentral:rRNA from 1 species
UGGGGAAUAUUGCACAAUGGGCGCAAGCCUGAUGCAGCCAUGCCGCGUGUGUGAAGAAGGCCUUCGGGUUGUAAAGCACUUUCAGCGAGGAGGAAGGGUUCAGUGUUAAUAGCACUGUUCAUUGACGUUACUCGCAGAAGAAGCACCGGCUAACUCCGUGCCAGCAGCCGCGGUAAUACGGAGGGUGCAAGCGUUAAUCGGAAUUACUGGGCGUAAAGCGCACGCAGGCGGUUUGUUAAGUCAGAUGUGAAAUCCCCGCGCUUAACGUGGAACUGCAUUUGAAACUGGCAAGCUAGAGUCUUGUAGAGGGGGGUAGAAUUCCAGGUGUAGCGGUGAAAUGCGUAGAGAUCUGGAGGAAUACCGGUGGCGAAGGCGGCCCCCCUGGACAAAGACUGACGCUCAGGUGCGAAAG